rnacentral:rRNA from 1 species
CCCACCACCGCGGUAAUUCCAGCUCCAAUAGCGUAUAUUAAAGUUGUUGCAGUUAAAAAGCUCGUAGUUGGAUAUCUGCUGGAAGCAAUCAGUCCGCCCUUUUCGUAAGGGUGUGCACUUGAUGAAUUCUGGCAUGAUUUCAUCCUAAUAAUAAUAUAUUAUUAUAUUAGGUUGAUUCUAGUAUAAUAAUAUUUAUUAUUAUGGGGAUGACAGUUACUUUGAGAAAAUUAGAGUGUUUGAAGCAGGCUUUUGUUGCCUUGAAUACUGCAGCAUGGAAUAACAAUAUAGGAUUUCGGUUCUAUUAUUUUGUUGGUUUUUUCUGUAGACUGAAAUAAUGAUUAAUAGGGACAGUUGGGGGCAUUCGUAUUUAACUGUCAGAGGUGAAAUUCUUAGAUUUGUUAAAGACGAACUACUGCGAAAGCAUUUGCCAAAGAUGUUUUCAUUAAUCAAGAACGAAAGUUAGGGGCUCGAA